UCCAGGGUAGCCUAGUGGACAUGGCAUCUGCCCGGUAAGCGGAUUGUUGUGGGUUCGAUUCCCGCCCCUGGAC